AACGCUGGCGGCGUGCCUAAUACAUGCAAGUCGAGCGAACAGACGAGGAGCUUGCUCCUCUGACGUUAGCGGCGGACGGGUGAGUAACACGUGGAUAACCUACCUAUAAGACUGGGAUAACUUCGGGAAACCGGAGCUAAUACCGGAUAAUAUAUUGAACCGCAUGGUUCAAUAGUGAAAGACGGCUUUCCUGUCCCUCAUAGCCGCACCCGCGCCGCAUUGGCCGGUUGGUACGGUAACGGCCUACCAGGGCGACGAUGCGUAGCCGACCUGCGGGGGUGGUCGGCGACACUGGAGCUGAGACACGGUCCGGGGUCCUGCGGGAGGCAGCGGUAGGGAAUCUUCCGCGAUGGGCGAGAGCCUGACGGAGGGGCGGCGCGUGAGUGAUGAAGGUCUUCGGAUCGUAGGACUCUGUUAUUGGGGAAGAACGAAUGUGUAAGUAACGAUGCACGUCUUGACGGUACCGGGUCAGAAAGCCACGGCUAACUACGUG
rnacentral:rRNA from 1 species